rnacentral:misc_RNA from 1 species
GGACUAAUAAGUAAAUGAAAGAUGUCUCCCUCUUAACCAAUGUAAGAUAAGAGACGUGGAAUUAUAAAUAAAGUUGCACAAAUCCAUUGAAAAUCAGAUUAACGAAUUCUUCCUAAUUCUAUAAUUGAGCCAUAAUGGAAUGACAGGCAUUAAAUCAUGGGCAAGAGUUUAGCAACAAAAUUUGUUCAACAUUUACCAAUUCUGACAACAUGUCGAGAAAAAUUGAAUGAUUCAAAAACAAAAGCUUGCUAAGUUUUGAUAACUGCAACUGCAGCUAACAGCCAAGCAUUCAGCUUAUUUUCUAGUAAAACAAGAAAAAUAUCAAGUCUUCAGCAAAAAGGUAAGCUGUCUUUUGACCAUAUGCAUGGCAUCAGUACCUGUGCUCCAACUUCUCCUUUUCCUUAUAGUGUUGCACAUAACUGCAUGGAUUACAAGAAAUGAAAGCGAAGAGAAUCAGUUAGCUAGAACUUAAAAAAUAACAAAAAAAGAAAGUAAAGGCAAAAUGGAUCGAACUGCACAAAGUUAAAGAUUUCAAAGAUAGGCAAACACAAAGAUCAAUAAUAUAUUGGUAGUAAUUUUUAUAAUUUAGGCACUGUUUGUUUCAGGGCAACAAUUAUUUUCUGUGAAAAACAUUUUCCUGAUUAAUUAUGGCACUGGAUUUUUUUUUUCUAUUGUUUGAAGUACAUUACUAGCUGCC